UAGGUUAUGGAGUAGGGCUUCAUAUUUUUCAGCGAAGUGUAUCGAGGCUAACGAAUAACUCGGUUGGUUGUUCGGUACGGCCUAACGUUUC
rnacentral:tRNA from 1 species